AACAACUCACCUGCCGAAUGAAUUAGCCCUGAAAAUGGAUGACGCUGAAGCGGACGGCCGAAACCACGCCGUCUGAACAAAGUGGUCUUUUCAGAUGAGUAGGAGGGCGUGGCGGUCGUAUGGAAGCGUCCGUGCGAACGGGCGUGAAACGGCCGCUAGUGCAGAUCUUGGUGGUAGUAGCAAAUAUUCAAGUGAGAUCCUUGAAGGACGAAGCGGGGAAGGGUUCCACGCGAACAUUGAUUGGGCGUGGGUGAGUCGUUCCUAAGCCGAGUGGCCAUUGCUAAGUAAACGGCGAAAGGGAAGCGGGUUGACAUUCCCGCACACGGAUGUGGAGGCGGCGACGCUUUACUGGGGCGGAGACGUUGGCGGUGGCUCUGGGCAGAGUUGUCUUUUCUGUUUGACCGUCAGUUUUGCGCCGUGUGGAAUCCGAUUGUCGGGAGAAACACGCGUAAGCGGGCAUAGCGCCGAGGCUUUCUCGGCGUCCAGAUCGCCACCGACGACCCUUGAAAAUCCGCAUACUGGUCAAUCGACCUUUUGGUCUUUUGUAAAAUCCACGCCGUGGCGUACCGAUCACCGCAUCAGGUCCCCAAGGUGAACAGCCUCUGUCCAAUAUGAAAAAU
rnacentral:rRNA from 1 species